CUGAAUAUGGGGGGACCAUCCUCCAAGGCUAAAUACUCCUGACUGACCGAUAGUGAACCAGUACCGUGAGGGAAAGGCGAAAAGAACCCCGGCGAGGGGAGUGAAAAAGAACCUGAAACCGUGUACGUACAAGCAGUGGGAGCACGCUUAGGCGUGUGACUGCGUACCUUUUGUAUAAUGGGUCAGCGACUUAUAUUCUGUAGCAAGGUUAACCGAAUAGGGGAGCCGAAGGGAAACCGAGUCUUAACUGGGCGUUAAGUUGCAGGGUAUAGACCCGAAACCCGGUGAUCUAGCCAUGGGCAGGUUGAAGGUUGGGUAACACUAACUGGAGGACCGAACCGACUAAUGUUGAAAAAUUAGCGGAUGACUUGUGGCUGGGGGUGAAAGGCCAAUCAAACCGGGAGAUAGCUGGUUCUCCCCGAAAGCUAUUUAGGUAGCGCCUCGUGAAUUCAUCUCCGGGGGUAG
rnacentral:rRNA from 1 species